GAUGAACGCUGGCGGCGUGCCUAAUACAUGCAAGUCGAGCGAACAGACGAGGAGCUUGCUCCUCUGACGUUAGCGGCGGACGGGUGAGUAACACGUGGAUAACCUACCUAUAAGACUGGGAUAACUUCGGGAAGCCGGAGCUAAUACCGGAUAAUAUAUUGAACCGCAUGGUUCAAUAGUGAAAGACGGUUUUGCUGUCACUUAUAGAUGGAUCCGCGCCGCAUUAGCUAGUUGGUAAGGUAACGGCUUACCAAGGCAACGAUGCGUAGCCGACCUGAGAGGGUGAUCGGCCACACUGGAACUGAGACACGGUCCAGACUCCUACGGGAGGCAGCAGUAGGGAAUCUUCCGCAAUGGGCGAAAGCCUGACGGAGCAACGCCGCGUGAGUGAUGAAGGUCUUCGGAUCGUAAAACUCUGUUAUUAGGGAAGAACAAAUGUGUAAGUAACUAUGCACGUCUUGACGGUACCUAAUCAGAAGGCCACGGCUAACUACGUG
rnacentral:rRNA from 1 species